CAGUAGCCGCGGUAAUACGAAGGGUGCAAGCGUUACUCGGAAUUACUGGGCGUAAAGCGUGCGUAGGUGGUUGUUUAAGUCCGUUGUGAAAGCCCUGGGCUCAACCUGGGAAUUGCAGUGGAUACUGGGCAACUAGAGUGUGGUAGAGGAUAGUGGAAUUUCCGGUGUAGCAGUGAAAUGCGUAGAGAUCGGAAGGAACAUCUGUGGCGAAGGCGACUAUCUGGGCCAACACUGACACUGAGGCACGAAAGCGUGGGGAGCAAACAGGAUUAGAUACCCGCGUAGUCCCUGUCUCUUAUAC
rnacentral:rRNA from 1 species